rnacentral:rRNA from 1 species
AGGGUUUGAUCCUGGCUCAGAACGAACGUUAGCGGUGUGGAUUAGGCAUGCAAGUCGCGCGUGAAAGUCUUCGGACGAGUAAAGCGGCGAAAGGGUGAGUAAUACGUAGUCAAUCUACCUUCGAGACCGGGAUAACACUGGAAACGGUGGCUAAUACCGGAUGGUCUCGCCGGGGGGCAUCCCCUGGCGAGUAAACGGUAGCGCAAGCUUUUGCUCGAGGAGGAGACUACGGGCUAUCGGCUAGUUGGUGAGGUAACGGCUCACCAAGGCGAUGACGGCUAGCCGGUCUGAGAGGACGAUCGGCCACACUGGGACUGAGACACUGCCCAGACUCCUACGGGAGGCUGCAGUCGAGAAUCUUCCGCAAUGGGCGCAAGCCUGACGGAGCGACACCGCGUGCAGGAUGAAGGCCUUCGGGUUGUAGACUGCUGUCACGCUAUAGGAAUGGUCUGGUGUUAAUAGCGCCAUGCUUGACUAAAGCGAGAGGAAGCACCGGCUAACUCCGUGCCAGCAGCCGCGGUAAGACGGAGGGUGCAAACGUUGUUCGGAAUCACUGGGCAUAAAGAGCACGUAGGCGGCGCUCUAAGUCAGAUGUGAAAUCCCCCGGCUCAACCGGGGAACUGCACCUGAUACUGGAGCGCUCGAGGACGGUAGGGGUGAGUGGAACUCCAGGUGGAGCGGUGAAAUGCGUAGAUAUCUGGAGGAACACCGGUGGCGAAGGCGGCUCACUGGACCGUCUCUGACGCUGAGGUGCGAAAGCUAGGGUAGCAAACGGGAUUAGAUACCCCGGUAGUCCUAGCCGUAAACGAUGGGCACUAGGCAAGGGGGUUACCUAUGGACCUCCUUGCCGGAGCUAAUGUAUUAAGUGCCCCGCCUGGGGAGUACGCUCGCAAGGGUGAAACUCAAAGGAAUUGACGGGGGCUCACACAAGCGGUGGAGCAUGUGGUUCAAUUCGAAGCAACGCGAAGAACCUUACCUGGCCUUGACUUGCACGGAUUAACCCUGUGAAAGCAGGGUAACAGCUCUUCGGAGUCGGAACGUGCGCAGGUGUUGCAUGGCUGUCGUCAGCUCGUGUCGUGAGAUGUUGGGUUAAGUCCCGUAACGAGCGAAACCCCUAUUCUUAGUUGCCAGCGGGUAAUGCCGGGGACUCUAGGAAGACUGCCGUUGUCAAGACGGAGGAAGGUGGGGACGACGUCAAGUCAUCAUGGCCCUUAUGGCCAGGGCUACACACGUGCUACAAUGGUCUGUACAAAGGGUUCCGAUGCCGCGAGGUGGAGGUAAUCCCCAAAGCAGACCCCAGUUCGGAUUGCAGGCUGAAAUUCGCCUGCAUGAAGCCGGAAUCGCUAGUAAUCGCGUAUCAGCCAUGACGCGGUGAAUAUGUUCCUGAGCCUUGUACACACCGCCCGUCAAGCCACGAAAGCGGGGAGUGCUCGAAGUCGCUUUGCCCAACCUUCGGGGGGGCGGCGCCGAAAGCAAGCUCCGUGAUUGGGACUAAGUCGAAACAAGGUA